rnacentral:rRNA from 1 species
UACGUAGGGUGCGAGCGUUAAUCGGAAUUACUGGGCGUAAAGCGUGCGUAGGCGGUGUCUUAAGUUUGUUGUGAAAUCUCCCGGCUUAACCGGGAGGGUGCGGCGAAUACUGAGAUGCUGGAGUGCCGGAGAGGUAAGCGGAAUUCCUGGUGUAGCGGUGAAAUGACGUAGAUAUCAGGAGGAACACCUGCGGUGUAGACGGCUUACUGGACGGUAACUGACGCUGAGGCACGAAAGCGUGGGUAGCAAACAGG